ensembl:lncRNA
ACAGUUCAGUGGGCUACAUACUGAACUUAGUCAGAAACAAUGUAUCGAUCCUAUCUGAUACCAAUACCAGGUUAGUAUCCAUGCCUUCGAUAUUUGGAUCAAUCUGCCCCACCUCUACCACAUAGCACAGGGUCUGCAGAAUGCAGGGGUGUGUUCAGGAGUUUGGGCAUAGGGGGGCGGCUCCACCUUAAAUUAGAUUCGUUUGAGGACAUUUUUAUGGACAUUUGUAAUGUUAGGCCACUUAAGCAGGAUUAUGACUUUCAUUUAAGUAAACUGUAUAAGGGCACAAGGCUGCACAUGAGCCUGAAAUUUUGCCAACCAAUUUUUCUACUGUACACUCAAUUUCUGAUCAACUAUUCAGAUUUCUCUUUCUUCUUUGUUCUGUCACCCCAUUAAAAAAAAAUCCUGCAAACGCCCCGGACAGAAGGCCUUGUAAAAGUACUUUUCCUUCUUUGUUCAGGUGUGCCUCCAGGGCAUCCUGCCAGAAAGCAUUAAUGGCAAUUUUUUUUUCUCAAAGUGACCAGAGAAGGAAAUGAUCCAAGUGGGUGACGUUUCUAGAUAAGAGCCUCAGCAGCAGGCCUGUUUGCCCGGGCUCAUUUGCCCGCCGCUCACCUGUCCGUCAUGAGAAGAGUUGACCUUUAACCAGCAGUGAGUGGCUCUCCCUGUCACGGGUACCUGGGCUGUUCUCAAGGGAAAUUUGGACUAAAUUCCGCACCACAUUUUUAAGAUGUUCUCUAAAUCCAGCCUGAAUGCUGAAGGCUUACUGAACCGGUUAAAAUAGGAUGUCAACAAGUGACGCAGGAGCGCUGGCGCUCAGAGUUGUAGGAGGAGAGACAGCUACGCCUCUGUACGGGACACCACCACCAGCAGCAGCUACAACGACACGGGCUACAACUGCAAGAGAACAACAAGAUGAAACAUUUGGUGAAACAUUCAAGCAGGAGGAACACCAUGGUGACAAACGCCCAGCUGAGCAGUUUUCUCACCAAACAGCAAUCACACAGAAGGAAACACACAAAGCACUAAUAUUGACAGCAGACGAGCUAAGAAAGGACCAAACUUCUUCUUCAGGUGGUGCAGAUAUCCAGGUCCAGCAGUCCAGCUUCACCUCCUGCCACGUCCUCAGACUCUCCACUAAUCCAGGCAUAAAACAAAGCAAGAGUUUUUACAGAUUGAUUGAACCACAGCGAGUUGAGACCAAGGACAGCAGUUUUCAGAUUAAUGGAAGAACGUCUGCAUCACAAACCUCUAUAGAGGCACCCAGCAUCUAUCGAUUGUCAGAGGCAAUACCAUUUCCAGCCAAGGAGAAAGACAAGGUCAUCACUGCUAAUUGCAAUGAACUGGAGAUUACCAGGGACUUGAGCAGAACUCAGGCUUUUUCAAAUAGUGACUUUGGGACACAUAAGCGUAAUGCCUUGCACAGACUUUCAUUUGGAUCACAACCAAGGACUUACACUGGAUCUCUAACUCGAGCUGAGUCAGAGGGAAAUAUACAGGACCGUACAAAAGGCCUUGCAGACCGUCUUCAGGAGUUAGCUGACCCGCCCAGAACCAUGUUGUCUUCCUCAGUGGUCACGGUUCUCGCUCCUCACUGGAGUGGCCGACUGCGACGUUCCAAAAGAUUUGAUGGAACCGGCAGCUCUGAAGCCCAGGGAAUUACGCAAGAUGGGACAUGUGCUGCAGCAAACCGUGGUUUUCAGCAGACUCAGAGCCAACAUGGUGUGGAGAGGGGCUUAACAGGUGGACUGGGAACCCAACUGAGGCCUCCAUUUUCAGAUCUCAGGAGGAACACAGUGGGCUGGUCAACUAAAAGUGAUCCUUUGAGCUUAGAAUCUAAAAGGGAAAUGAUUAAAACUGUUUCUUUGGAUGUGAACUCAGGAAGGAUGGACAAUAGAAAAAUAGACAGAGGUUCUUUAAGCGCUUUAGCUACCAGUGCCUCUGUAUCGCAGAGCCAACAUGAACAAAGGCGAAAUCCACAAACUGUCCAUCAAGGCGGACACUCAUCUUCAAGCUCCAAACCAACAACCAGCAACGUACUUCUUUCUUUAAGGAGAGGCAACAUCGGUGGCAAGAAUCUCAAUGCAACCUCCCCUCUGAGCAGUUUUCCAAGUGAUCAGAAUGGAAAAUUAUUCACAACACCCCUCUCUCAGAGCUUUCUCAAUAGUAAUGAACAAGAGAGGCCAAAGCCGCUCCUCUCUCCAUCAUCUAUUUCUUACAGGACAACUGAAGCUAGCCCUGUCCUUUCCCCAUCACCCUCCAGCCUGAGAGAGCAGAGCACCUCUGACAGGUUCAUCUUUGCACCUUUACCAGUGGACAAAAAUGCAGACGGCAAAACCCUUUGCCCAACAGUCUCAGACAAUAAAUAGGAUUCAGUCCAGUCUCACAUCCUCACAGACAUUUUUAGGUAAAGGACCAUCAGAAAGUCAACAGAACUACAGGGGGCAGAAGUAAAACUCUACUUUCAGAGACCCCAGUCUCCUUGUCCAGACAGCCCCCAUUUGACUCUUCUGCCCAAGUGAAAACCCAGUCCUUUCCUAAAAGAACCACGCUGAAACAGACUUCCUGGUGGAAGCAAGUUACCCAGGAAAGCAGUUUCCCUUUCACCCCAAAAGACACAACCAACAACAAAGACAAGCCAAACACAACCUUACUUCCAC